rnacentral:rRNA from 1 species
AUUGAACGCUGGCGGCAGGCCUAACACAUGCAAGUCGAGCGAGCGGCGGACGGGUGAGUAAUGUCUGGGAAACUUCCUGAUGGAGGGGGAUAACUACUGGAAACGGUGGCUAAUACCCCAUACCAUCAGAUGUGCUCAGAUGGGAUUCGCUAGUAGGUGUGGUAACGGCUCACCUAGGCGACGAUCCCUAGCUGGUCUGAGAGGAUGACCAGCCACACUGGAACUGAGACACGGUCCAGACUCCUACGGGAGGCAGCAGUGGGGAAUAUUGCACAAUGGGCGAAAGCCUGAUGGAGCAACGCCGCGUGAGUGAAGAAGGCCUUCGGGUUGUAAAGCACUUUCAGCGGGGAGGCGGUACCUGCAGAAGAAGCACCGGCUAACUCCGUGCCAGCAGCCGCGGUAAUUC